GAGCAGGGAGAGAAUCGGGUUAAGUCUGGGGAUGAAAAGCAAAUGACCACAGGCCAGGAAGGGGAGCCAGGUGUGAGGGCAGGAGGGAUCUGAUUGGCAACUGUGACUGGCUCAUUGGAUCUGCCUCUAACUGGUGCCACCUGAAGAAAUGAGAAACCCCUAUUGUCACGUAAACCUUUCCAUUUUUUUUUUUUUAACAGCACUCCGAGGCUCCAACCAAGCUUGGCUGUGAGUCUGAGCUAGCUCAUGGUACCACCGUUCCGGUCUACAUUUUAAGGCUAUGAAAGAAUGUUCUAGGCACAGCUUUCUUCCCCACAUUUUCCUUGAUUUUCCAGCAAAGCUGUAAUCCCAUCGUCACUUCCUCUGGCAACACGGGGACUGCCUGCCAUGCCCUAACUCCUCCUUGUGCUUUUGGCCUUCGCCUAAGAGUUCCUUGGAGUUUCUUCACAGCAUCUGUAGCCAUCUGAAGUGUCAUCUUCUGUACUAUAUUGCCAGUGCCUACAAUUACGACUGGUAUACUCAACCAGGCGGCAGUGGUCUUGUACAAUCUCUCUCUGUAUUCUCAAGUCCCCAUCUGCGAGCAUGGCUACUGGAAAUAACUGCAGCUGUAUACUGACUUAAAGAUCCAAAAAUCCCAGGAAGGACCCCAGAGCUGUGAGCCAGAAGCCCAAGGCCCUCCCAGCCUGAAAGCCCCAGGCCAAGCCUGAACUAUAUGCAGGUGAGUGUUGCUUUGCAGUUACCAUCUCCAAUUAGUGUCCCCAGCCUCUUAAAGCUGAUCUAAUCCCACUCUCCUGAUUUCAGCCCCUCAGACAGUGCCUGCUGCACUCAAUACAAUCCAUGUUCCUGAUGACGUGGCAUAUAAGGCCAGGAGCAAUCAGCUCUGCUGCCCUUGCCUAUCUCCUGCCUCCAUGUCCAUGUCUCCCCAGGCCCUGCCAUCUGCCACACCCUCUCCUCUCUGGCAGGUCAGGUGUCACACUGUUGGCUGUUCUCUCCUCCAGGAUGACUGAAAGCCCAGAGCUGAGAUGAAUUCAUACCUUAAAUCAGAAGUGAUUUCACUGGAGAUACCAUGUCUCUUCUAUCAGUCCCCCAAUCUAAAUCUUCCCCCGACCCUUGUAAACGCCCUGCAUGGCCUGGGUCUCCCAUUGCAAUCCUUCCAUUUGUUUGGUGUUUGGUUUUUGCUUUUUUAGUCAUCCCCAUGAGAAUAUAAACUCCAUGAGGGCAGCAACUUGGCUGGCCUGUGUGCCAGUGCUGGGGACAUCACUGAGAAAUGAAGGCCCAUUUGGCAGGCUAUUUUUGAGCAAGAUUCCUGAGGCCCAAUCGUUGGGUGAUGAGAUGGACCCGAGGUAUUUCACUCCAGCUCUCGAGCCAAAAGAACUGACCACGUCCUCACCACUGCUCUGCGCCAGAUUUCAUCCAAGCAAAGAGAGGAUCACAUGGAGAUGAAAACACCCCACUUCCUUCAUCUGGAUGACACCUUGUUUAGAAGCCCAUCACUCGGCCAGAGAAGAAAUAUUUAGAUUGAGAAACAGCUUUUUGUUGUGCCCUAAGCCCAUUCUACCUUUAUGAUUCAACUAAAAAUUUAUUUCCACUUAAAUAAAACCAGCAAUUCUGAGCUUCCCCUCCCGUCACAGGUUUCCUCCCAGAAAGUCUAUCAUGAAAAUACUGCUCAAAAAUCAUCUGUAAAAAGGUAAAUUAACACAUAUUCUUGGCUCCCUCUUCCUUAUCUCAGCUAUUCAGCCUCUACACUUUUUCAACUAUUUUAUCACCUUUUUUAAAUAGGCAACACAGGAGUGUAGAAUAAGAGCAUGAGGGGGGUGAAUACAUGAAAAAGUGAGUCUUCCCACCUUGGUCCUCCACUAAGUGACGGUUACUUUUUAAUGUGUCUUUCUACAGGUAUACAUUACACAUAGAAGCACGUAUGUAUGCACCGGUGGAAGUAUAUAUCCUCAUAUUUGGUGUUUGGUUUUUUUUUU
rnacentral:lncRNA from 1 species